rfam:Nelumbo nucifera unplaced genomic scaffold scaffold00028, whole genome shotgun sequence
AUAGGUAAUAAGCGAAGAACCUUAUCAGAGCUUGACAUGCCACGAGUCCUCUUGACAGAGAGGGAGUGCCUUAAGGAACGUGGACACAGGUGGUGCAUGACUGUCGUCAGCUUGUGACGUAGGGUAUUGGGUUAAGUCCCGCAAUGAUCGCAACCCUCGUGUUUAGUUUGGAACUCUGAACAGACUGCCGGUGAUAAGCCGGAGGAAGGUGAGGAUGGCGUCACUUUCUUCAUUUUUCCCCUUGUAUCAA